rnacentral:rRNA from 1 species
GAUGAACGCUGGCGGCGUGCCUAAUACAUGCAAGUCGAGCGAACAGAUAAGGAGCUUGCUCCUUUGACGUUAGCGGCGGACGGGUGAGUAACACGUGGGUAACCUACCUAUAAGACUGGGAUAACUUCGGGAAACCGGAGCUAAUACCGGAUAAUAUUUCGAACCGCAUGGUUCGAUAGUGAAAGAUGGUUUUGCUAUCACUUAUAGAUGGACCCGCGCCGUAUUAGCUAGUUGGUAAGGUAACGGCUUACCAAGGCGACGAUACGUAGCCGACCUGAGAGGAUGAUCAGCCACACUGGAACUGAGACACGGUCCAGACUCCUACGGGAGGCAGCAGUAGGGAAUCUUCCGCAAUGGGCGAAAGCCUGACGGAGCAACGCCGCGUGAGUGAUGAAGGUCUUCGGAUCGUAAAACUCUGUUAUUAGGGAAGAACAUACGUGUAAGUAACUGUGCACGUCUUGACGGUACCUAAUCAGAAAGCCACGGCUAACUACGUG